rnacentral:rRNA from 1 species
AGAGUUUGAUCCUGGCUCAGGAUGAAUGCUGGCGGCGUGCCUAAUACAUGCAAGUCGAGCGGUAACAGGAGUAGUUUACUACUUGCUGACGAGCGGCGGACGGCUGAGUAACGCGUGGGAACGUGCCCCAAAGUGAGGGAUAACGCACCGAAAGGUGUGCUAAUACCGCAUAUGGUCUUCGGAUUAAAGGAUUUAUCCGCUUUGGGAGCGGCCCGCGUACGAUUAGAUUGUUGGUGAGGUAAUGGCUCACCAAGUCGACGAUCGUUAGCUGGUCUGAGAGGAUGAUCAGCCAGACUGGAACUGAGACACGGUCCAGACUCCUACGGGAGGCAGCAGUAAGGAAUCUUCCACAAUGGGCGAAAGCCUGAUGGAGCAACGCCGCGUGCAGGAUGAAGGCCUUCGGGUUGUAAACUGCUUUUAUGAGUGAAGAAUAUGACGGUAACUCAUGAAUAAGCACCGGCUAACUACGUGCCAGCAGCCGCGGUCAUACGUAGGGUGCAAGCAUUAUCCGGAGUGACUGGGCGUAAAGAGUUGCGUAGGUGGUUAGUAAAGCGAAUAGUGAAACCUGGUGGCUCAACCAUACAGACUAUUAUUCGAACUCACUAACUCGAGAGUGGUAGAGGUAACUGGAAUUUCUUGUGUAGGAGUGAAAUCCGUAGAUAUAAGAAGGAACACCAAUGGCGUAGCAGGUUACUGGACCAUUUCUGACACUAAAGCACGAAAGCGUGGGGAGCGAACCGGAUUAGAUACCCGGGUAGUCCACGCCGUAAACGAUGGAUACUAGCUGUUGGAGGUAUCGACCCCUUCAGUAGCGAAGCUAACGCGUUAAGUAUCCCGCCUGUGGAGUACGGUCGCAGACUAAAACUCAAGGAAUUGACGG